UACGAAGGGGGCUAGCGUUGUUCGGAAUUACUGGGCGUAAAGCGCGCGCAGGCGGCUAUCCAAGUCAGUGGUGAAAGCCCGGAGCUCAACUCCGGAACUGCCAUUGAAACUGUUUAGCUUGAGGACGAGAGAGGUGAGUGGAAUUCCGAGUGUAGAGGUGAAAUUCGUAGAUAUUCGGAAGAACACCAGUGGCGAAGGCGGCUCACUGGACCGGCAUUGACGCUGAGGUGCGAAAGCGUGGGGAGCAAACAGG
rnacentral:rRNA from 1 species